AGGCCCUGCUUUUGUGGGGUGCUCGAGUGGCGAACGGGUGAGUAACACGUGAGUAACCUGCCCUUGACUUUGGGAUAACUUCAGGAAACUGGGGCUAAUACCGGAUAGGAGCUCCUGCUGCAUGGUGGGGGUUGGAAAGUUUCGGCGGUUGGGGAUGGACUCGCGGCUUAUCAGCUUGUUGGUGGGGUAGUGGCUUACCAAGGCUUUGACGGGUAGCCGGCCUGAGAGGGUGACCGGCCACAUUGGGACUGAGAUACGGCCCAGACUCCUACGGGAGGCAGCAGUGGGGAAUAUUGCACAAUGGGCGGAAGCCUGAUGCAGCAACGCCGCGUGCGGGAUGACGGCCUUCGGGUUGUAAACCGCUUUCGCCUGUGACGAAGCGUGAGUGACGGUAAUGGGUAAAGAAGCACCGGCUAACUACGUGCCAGCAGCCGCGGUGAUACGUAGGGUGCGAGCGUUGUCCGGAUUUAUUGGGGCGUAAAGGGCUCGUAGGUGGUUGAUCGCGUCGGAAGUGUAAUCUUGGGGCUUUAACCCUGAGCGUGCUUUCGAUAC
rnacentral:rRNA from 1 species